GCGGAGGGAUCAUUAAAGAGUUCUAUAACUCCCAAACCCAUGUGAACAUACCUAACGUUGCCUCGGCAGGUCGCACCUACCUUGUAGCACCCUACCCUGUAAGGCCUACCCGGGAGGUGCGGGUAAGCCUGCCGGCGGCCCACCAAACUCUGUUUGAUAUUGAAUUCUGAACCUAUAACUAAAUAAGUUAAAACUUUCAACAACGGAUCUCUUGGUUCUGGCAUCGAUGAAGAACGCAGCGAAAUGCGAUAAGUAAUGUGAAUUGCAGAAUUCAGUGAAUCAUCGAAUCUUUGAACGCAUAUUGCGCCCAUUAGUAUUCUAGUGGGCAGGACCGUUCGAGCGUCAUUUCAACCCUUAAGCCUUCGUUGCUUAGUGUUGGGAGCCUACGGCAACGUAGCUCCUCAAAGUUAGUGGCGGAGUUAGUUCACACUCUAGACGUAGUAAUUUUUUAUCUCGCCUAUUAGUUGGACUAAUCCCCUGCCGUAAAACCCCCAAUUUAUCAAGGUUGACCUCGAAUCGGUUCAGACAAACUCGCUAAAUUGAAGCAUCUUAGUCAGCGAAGGAAAAGAAACCAACAGGGAUUGCCCUAGUAACGGCGAGUGAAGCGGCAACAGCUCAAAUUUGAAAUCUGGCCCUCGGG
rnacentral:rRNA from 1 species